rnacentral:lncRNA from 1 species
AUCAAAUAAUGCCUUAAAUCUUCAAUUUGUCCAUCUAUGUUAAAGACCAUUGCUAUAGUUACGAAGAUAGAAAUGACCACCCUAUCAGCCUACUGAUGCUGAAAACUAACAAUCCACUUGUUUGGUAUCCUUCCACUGCCUUUACAGUCACACUUGAUGUCACAAUACUCCAUCUGAAAUUAUUAAAAGUGAUCAUAAUGAACAAGAAUAUAUUUUUGGUUCUAUAAAAUAUACGAGUUGAUAGGAUGUGUUUGAUUCGCAUGCAUUUGAUUCCCGGGAAAAUGAAUAGAAAUGGCUAAGUUUUAAAAGAUUUUGAGUAGGAGAUCGGAAUUCAGAUUCCGGGCAUAGCUAUUUUAUUUGAAUACGAUUUUCAUUUAAAAAAAAAAAAAAAAAAAAAAAAAACCAUUUUAUAUAAUUAAUAGGACAAAGCAGACAAGUGUUUCACUUUAGUAAGAAUUUCGUCAAUCUCUGUCUCUAUUUCUCUCCCUUUUCUGCCCACUCUCUCUCCCUCUCCCAUCAUUCAAUGUUACAUUAGUACCCUUCAUUUCUUUGGAAUUUAAAUUCCAUGAACCAAAGACAGCGAUGAUUAUAGUUCUAAACAUGAUGUUAUUAAAAGUGACUUAAAACCAAACGGGAUAUGACAAGAUUUGGAUAAAAUUUCUAUCAUUUACGGGAACAAAACUACUAAAAAAUUCCCAAGAAAACCAUGAAUCCAAAAAGUCUGUUAACAAUCAACACAAACAUAAACAACAAUAAAAGCUUCAAUCCAACGUUCGGAUACAAAGCAAUAAAGUACAUCCACAAAUACAUAUAUCAGAAAAAAUAAAAGCUUAGAAAAUACUUCGACAACCAAAAUAAACAAUAUUGGUAUGGAACAUAUGGAAGUUCAAACAAAAACUGGAAACAAACAUACUUGAAGCAACAAUAGAUGUAAUGGAACAAUGACAAAAAUAUAUAUUUUUAAUACUUGAUUUUUAGAUUUAUUUAUCUUACUCUCAUAGUCCAAGUUCCUAAGAUUUAAGUUUAGUCUUGCUAUCUAUUAUUUACCACUUUCUGAGAAUCAAAAGCUAUUUAUCUGGUCGAAACUAACGUGGCGUAGCCAUGGGUACAACUAGUAUCUUUAUAAAACACACACCUCUAUAUAGUACGCUGGUCCCAUAAGCCUUGGUGAUGCCAUUAGAUUCAUGGAGGCGGCCACAUGGCUGACAGUGAGAAUGAUCUGAUCAGUACGUGCAAUAGCAUAUUAGGUCUACGCAAAUAAAACAAAAAGACAGAAUUUCUCACAGUAACAUACCCACAUAUAACAACUAGGAAGUAUGAAUCCACCACAAAUCAAUAACUGAAAACAUAUCCAAAAAUGCCAACAGUUAAAGACACAUACUGUUGCCAACAGUUAAAGCCCAAGGAAUAUCGCAGAAAAAGUGAAAAAACCAAAGUACUUAAUUAAUGCAAAUUACUUAAUAAAAAGUUGGCUACCUGGAGCUCUCCAAUGUCAGGAUAUCUUCAAUCGCAACUUUCCACAAGGACCUAAUCCAAACUUCAAUCUCAGAGAUGAAUCCAUUCUCGAAGAACUCACUGAAUUUUACUUGGAAGUUUCUUAUGUUGUCAAAGUAAACCUAGAUGAAGUGUCAUAUCCAGAAACAAAUUAUUAUGUGAGAAUAAAAUGGUCCAACAAACUACAACAUAGACAAGGCCUGGAAGUUUGCUGAAGGGAAGGUCUGAAAGACUAUGGCUAUAUAUCUGUUGGGUCUCUCAGCAACGAUAGUACAUAGGGAGCAAGAGAGUUACCUGGCGCCACAAGCAGCAGCAGUCCAAAAGCUCCCAGCAGCAGUACAAGCAUUCUGCAGGUUUGGUUAGAGUGUUUCCUGGGCUUUCGGCUUUGCUUGUAUGUGUACACAUGGUAUGUAAAGGUGGGGUUGGGAAUGAGAUGAUGUAUAUAACAAGGAAAUGUCUUUUGGGGUGUAAUCUGAUGAUGCAGUCCUUGCAUUCUGAUCAGACGAUAUUGUAAGCCUGAUUUUUCUUUAGAAAUACAUAUACUACUUUUAUCAAAAAUAAAUAAAGCUUUGUAACAACAAUCCUACUAUAACUUUGACAUGUACUUUUAAGGAGUGGUGGAAUAUUAUGUUGUUUUCUUCAAACAUAAACCUAAUAACACAUCAAUUUAUUUAUUUUUUGUUAUCGUUAUCCUCUGUCUCUCAAUCCUUAGACCCAAUUUUUCUUAGAAUAUGGUAUCAAUCUUUCAAUUUUAAAUAGCAAAUCAAACAAAUAACCAUACAAAUUGUUUUAGAUUUUAGCAAAUCUCUCCGUCCUACUAACCUAAAAAAAUAUUUUGAAACUAAUUGAAUGGCUAAAACUGCGGGAGAGCGGUUUGGGAGCCGGGGGCGGUGCAGUAGCUAGACGGUAAAGUCCCACAUGAAACUGGAUUUGGGUCUACGCAUGAAACGAAGACCAUAGCUGCCGAUCAGGACCUGAUGUGUGACUGGGUCCUUGUUCUUACAGUGUAGCAUUACAUGGUUUUUUCAAUUUCAUUACGUAAAGUCAGGAUUGUGAUUAAUCUUUCACAACCUGACUCCACUAUGUAAUCUUUCCCUUCGAUAAAGUGAAAGUUAUAAAUAAGCAAACUAGUCGUAAACCAUUUUCAAUCUUGGAUUACCCAAUUUCAUUCUAAUUCCUAACACUAUGUGAUAUGAAUAACAAUAAAAAUUCUCGUUUUCUUCUUUUUUGUAAAAAUUUAGUUUUAACAGAAUCAAAUUGUAGAGAAAUCAAAGCCUUGAAUAGAUGGAAUUCAACUUAUCUAACCUUUCAACCAAGGUUGCAACCCCUAACAGCCGAGAGAAACCGAGAAAACACCCCAGCUUGUUCCAAAUAAACAGAUUCUAUUGACUAGUCAAAAUCGAAAUCCAAACUAGGGUUUAUAUAGAUAAUUGAGAGAAACAGAGACCAAGUGGCAGGAAGCAUCAAAGUAAUCGAGACAGAAGAGUAGGAAGAAGAUGAUAAAGGGUGAGAGAAAGAAUUUCAAACUCAGGGUUCAAAUCAGAUCGAGGAAGUGAGAAAGGUUGAGAUUGUGGUGAGGAGGAAGAGAGAGUCGAGGAAGUGGGUGGUUUCUCUUGUUAACGCCUUGGCUUUCCUCAUGUGAUAAGCACGUCACAAAUUUUGGUUUUUUUUUAUUAACUUCUAACAACACAAGGCCGUUAGUAUUAUUUUCUAGUAGUGUUACUAAAUAAUUCAAAAUAAUAUUAAUUUAUUACUAACAAAAAUUGGCCUUUACUAGCGGCAAAAAAAUGUUAUUACACUUCUAACAGCAAAAUGAUGUUAGAAAUCUAAA